GGGCGAAUCAGGAAGAGUAAUAGAGACUCUAGGAGCAGUGCGAAUGAGAACAUGAAGGAAAACCAAAUAAAGCUCUAAAUUCUUGAGUUGGAGUCUGGUCUGACGAUUGUCCUGAUGCCUCCCAUUCCUGUUGUUCUUAGGUGCUCAUUCCUCUUACUUUUGGCU
rnacentral:pre_miRNA from 1 species